UACGUAGGGUGCAGGCGUUAAUCGGAAUUACUGGGCGUAAAGCGUACGCAGGCGGUUUUGCUAAGACAGGUUGUGAAAUCCCCGGGCUUAACCUGGGAACUGCGCUUGUUACUGGCAAGCUAGAGUGUGGCAGAGGGGGUAGAAUUCCAGGUGUAGCAGUGAAAUGCGUAGAUAUCUGGAGGAAUACCGAUGGCGAAGGCAGCCCCCUGGGCCUGCACUGACGCUCAUGCACGAAAGCGUGGGGAGCAAACGGG
rnacentral:rRNA from 1 species